AAACUUAAAACAAUCAAGUAGCAACAAAGGCUGGGGUGUGAGCAUGUACAGUAGCCAACUUUCAGUUCUUAUGCAUGCUCAGGUAGUAGAUUGGUGCCAACUCAGUGUAGGAAGAUGAGGAAAGAAUGAGAGACCGCUUGGAUUUUGACCAUUUCGUGAAGUCUCAUUUUGUCUUAACAAUAAGAAACCAGAUGUGACAGCAAUGUGCACUCCGAGGCCUCCCUGUUCUACUUGGUGAUGACUCCAGUAACUUCUACAACACCUGCUUCUUAAGUUCUCAUGGUUACAACUUAAAGGAGCACACAGAGUUGUGGGGAAAUUUGCUUUGUAUUUGCUGGUAUCUUGCUGACAGUCAGCUAAAAAACAUUAAUGCCGAAUAUAUUCCUUUGAGUUCAUUACAAAGAUGGUCAUGGGCUGCAUGCUAACUGUGACAUUUCACUGAAUGUCAGCAGGAUGAAGCUAUCAGCCUACCUCCUGUGAAGUGAGAAAAAUACACCUUUCAUCUCCAAAACUGAGUUAACUAAGUGCUAGACCUAUGAUAAGUAAAGAUAAAUGAGUUUAAGAUGUAGACGCAUUUGGGGCAAUGUGUUAACAGACCUGAAACUAAAGUGUGCUUUGUGACUUUUUGAGAUGUAAUGAUAUAAACCAAAGCCAACUUGUGUGGACCAACUCUGUUUUCAGCCCUUUGUGCCUCUUCUCCAAAGUUUGUUACCAAAAACUGCACCACACUCAGUCUCCUCCUACUGCUACCUCCACUGCUGAAAAAAGCAAAAUCUGACUAGAGGAAUCCAUUUUUGCUUUGUUCCGAAAUGGUUGAGUAAUUAAAACUGUAUUGUUGGUGUGAAUCACAAUUGCAAAGGAGCAAUGUCAGUUUUAGAAGAAAGAAAAAUUAAUAAAAGCAUAUAAUUGAACUUUGAA